AAUAGAUACCCGGGUAGCCCACGCCGUAAACGAUGAGUGCUAGGUGUUAGGGGGGUCCAACCCCUUAGUGCUGAAGUUAACACAUUAAGCACUCCGCCUGGGGAGUACGACCGCAAGGUUGAAACUCAAAGGAAUUGACGGGGGGCCCGCACAAGCAGUGGAGCAUGUGGUUUAAUUCGAAGCAACGCGAAGAACCUUACCAGGUCUUGACAUCCUCUGACAACCCUAGAGAUAGGGCGUUCCCCCUUCGGGGGACAGAGUGACAGGUGGUGCAUGGUUGUCGUCAGCUCGUGUCGUGAGAUGUUGGGUUAAGUCCCGCAACGAGCGCAACCCUUGAUGUUAGUUGCCAGCAUUAAGUUGGGCACUCUAACGUGACUGCCGGUGACAAACCGGAGGAAGGUGGGGAUGACGUCAAAUCAUCAUGCCCCUUAUGACCUGGGCUACACACGUGCUACAAUGGGCGGCACAAAGGGCAGCGAAACCGCGAGGUCGAGCGAAUCCCAUAAAGCCGCUCUCAGUUCGGAUUGCAGG
rnacentral:rRNA from 1 species